UGCGUAGGCGGAUUAAUAAGUCAGUGGUGAAAUCUCUCGGCUCAACCGGGAAACUGCCAUUGAUACUGUUAAUCUUGAGUUCGGUUGAGGUAGGCGGAAUGUGUAAUGUAGCGGUGAAAUGCUUAGAUAUUACACAGAACACCAAUUGCGUAGGCAGCUUACUAGACCGACACUGACGCUGAGGCACGAAAGCGUGGGGAGCGAACAGGAUUAGAUACCCUGGUAGUCC
rnacentral:rRNA from 1 species